rnacentral:rRNA from 1 species
AUUGAACGCUGGCGGCAUGCUUUACACAUGCAAGUCGAACGGCAGCGCGGGCUUCGGCCUGGCGGCGAGUGGCGAACGGGUGAGUAAUACAUCGGAACGUGCCCAGUAGUGGGGGAUAGCUCGGCGAAAGCCGGAUUAAUACCGCAUACGACCUGAGGGUGAAAGCGGGGGAUCUUCGGAACUCGCGCUAUUGGAGCGGCCGAUGGCAGAUUAGCUAGGUGGUGGGGUAAAGGCCUACCAAGGCGACGAUCUGUAGCUGGUCUGAGAGGACGACCAGCCACACUGGGACUGAGACACGGCCCAGACUCCUACGGGAGGCAGCAGUGGGGAAUUUUGGACAAUGGGCGAAAGCCUGAUCCAGCAAUGCCGCGUGUGUGAUGAAGGCCUUCGGGUUGUAAAGCACUUUUGGCGGGAACGAAAAGGACUGUGCCAAUACCACGGUUCGAUGACGGUACCCGCAGAAUAAGCACCGGCUAACUACGUG